rnacentral:lncRNA from 1 species
GCCUUCAUAAUGAAAUCAAAACAGCCUUCAUAAUGAAAUAAAAACAGAACUGACUACUUUCAUAACUUUGAUGAUGUUGGUCAAUUACAUUGAUGAAAUCAAAACAUAAGUUAGAUAAAGUCAGAUUACAUUUAUCAAAUCAAAACACUACUGCCUACUUUCAUAACUGAAAAGAAGACACUGCUAAUACAGCUUUGAGGCAACUUUCAACAACAUUGCCACUAAAAUAACAUUCAAAAAAAAGAUCACAAACAACAUCCCCACUAAGAUUUUCAACCACUUUUCCAACUUCACUAAGCUUUUCUCUAUAACAGCAAUUUUCAUCUUUUCACUAUAACUUUCUUUCAUCUGCACAACACUGUCUUCAUUGCUCAUCAGACCCACUUCUUCACCUGGUACAGUACCACUCCUUUCUANCAUUCUUUCAUUUCCUUCUUCAAUGCACCACUCAAAGAAGUUGCACCCAACCAAUUCGUCACUCCCACCNUGUUANAACAACACCGAGUCCUUCGUCAAAACCCAAAUAAAAAAGACAAACAUUCAUGGUUAUGGAAAACUCACCUUGAAAUUAGGGCAUCCCCAAAAUUUUUUCCCCUUGUUCUUACUGGUUCUGGCAAUACGACACAACAUUCUCACCACAAAAGCAUCUGGGUUUUGCACCCACCCUCUUCACACUCCCAGUACUGUGUUGAUUGGCAGAACCCAAACAUUUACAAGAGGUUGAUGAACGAGACAUAUCUUACCACCACCUCAAGACAACUCUUCUUCCCCAAGACGAAAGAAACCCCUUUUCUUCUUCUUCCCAAACGCGACAAUAACGAUGAGAAGGGAGGGGAUGCCCUU